rnacentral:rRNA from 1 species
CCUACGGGCGGCAGCAGUGGGGAAUAUUGCACAAUGGGGGGAACCCUGAUGCAGCGACGUAGCGUGGGGGAGGAAGUACUUCGGUAUGGUAAGCCCUAUCAGCAGGGAAGAAAAUGACGGUACCUGACUAAGAAGCCCCGGCUAACUCCGUGCCAGCAGCCGCGGUAAUACGUAGGGGGCAAGCGUUAUCCGGAUUUACUGGGUGUAAAGGGAGAGUAGACGGCGUGACAAGUCUGAUGUGAAAGGCCGGGGCUCAACCCCGGGACUGCAUUGGAAACUGGCAUCCUUGAGUGCCGGAGGGGCAAGCGGAAUUCGUGGUGUAGCGGUGAAAUGCGUAGAUAUUAGGAGGAACACCGGUGGCGAAGGCGGCUUGCUGGACGGUAACUGACGUUGAGGCUCGAAAGCGUGGGGAGCAAACAGGAUUAGAUACCCGAGUAGUC